UGAAUGCUAUUGCUUGUUAUAUUAACCCCUUCACUGUGGAUUUCCUACAAGAAGACAUCACUAAGCUACAGGAAUGGAACAAAAAGUGGCUGCUACAAUUCAAUGAAGAAAAAUGUAAAGUCAUGCACCUUGGGAGGGGAUAUCCAGCACACCAAUACCACAUGGGAAACACUUCACUAUCCACCACAGAGGCAGAGAAAGACCUGGGAGUGUAUGUUACCAGGCUACCAGUGAAGGCGAAAUCUGUGCCAAGAAGAUGUCACCAAGCUACAGGAAUGGAGCAAAAAGUGGCUGCUACAAUUCAAUGAAGAAAAAUGUAAAGUCCUGCACCUUGGGAGGGGAUAUCCAGCACACCAAUACCACAUGGGAAACACUUCACUACCCACCACAGAGGCAGAGAAAGGCCUGGGAGUGUAUGUUACCAGGCCAGCAGUGAAGGCGAAAUCCGUGCCAAUCGCAGCGGACGGGUUAAACUAUAGGAAUGAGGUUAAUCAAAUGUUAGUUGAUUAGUGAUAAGAUUACUGAGCCAUUUUAUUACAUUAUACAAAGAUGAUGAGACAGAAACGAGAUAGAGAAUGAUGGUAAGAUGGUAGAGAUGAUAAUAAUAAUGAUGAUGAGAGUAUUAAUAAAUUGAGGUUGAGAUCACACACACACACACACACACACACACACACACACACACACACACACACACACAGCCUUAAUUAAUCCUACUUUUUACAUAUCUAUAACUACACAUUGUACUACCUUUAUUGCUGUUUGUAUUAUUUUGUAUCAUUAUUAUUAUUAUUAUUAUUAUUAUUAUUAUUAUUAUUAUUACUACUACUACUACUAUUAUUUUCGACAAGGUGGGUAAAGGAGGAAGGAAGGAAGUGCGGAUGUGUCUGGGAUGAGUUUAUUCCCGACUAAUUUUGCUUUUGCUUCUUCAGGGAAAGUGAGUUAGUUAGUGAGUGAGUAAGUGAGGAAGUGAGUGAAACUGGUCUGGAAUAAACUCAUCUCAAACUGGUCUGGAAUAAACUCAUCUCAAACUGGUCUGGAAUAAACUCAUCUCAAACUGGUCUGGAAUAAACUCAUCUCAAACUGGUCUGGAAUAAACUCAUCUCAAACUGGUCUGGAAUAAACUCAUCUCAAACUGGUCUGGAAUAAACUCAUCUCAAACUGGUCUGGAAUAAACUCAUCUCAAACUGGUCUGGAAUAAACCCAUCUCAAACUGGUCUGGAAUAAACUCAUCUCAAACUGGUCUGGAAUAAACUCAUCUCAAACUGGUCUGGAAUAAACCCAUCUCAAACUGGUCUGGAAUAAACUCAUCUCAAACUGGUCUGGAAUAAACUCAUCUCAAACUGGUCUGGAAUAAACUCAUCUCAAACUGGUCUGGAAUGAACUCAUCUCAAACUGGUCUGGAAUAAACUCAUCUCAAACUGGUCUGGAAUAAACUCAUCUCAAACUGGUCUGGAAUAAACUCAUCUCAAACUGGUCUGGAAUAAACUCAUCUCAAACUGGUCUGGAAUAAACUCAUCUCAAACUCACCCACCCGCGCUUCGUUCCUCCUCCACCCGCCAAUAUUAUCAUUAUUAUUACUCUUACUAUAUCAGUCAACACUAUUCCCACAGGUCAUACAAACACAGAACAAAAUAUGGCUUAAGAUUUAACAAGCCUUUCUAACCUACUAACCGGAGAUGUCUGAUAAAAGUGUGUAUGAAUUAACUGUUAACCCAUUCAGCCAUAGUGAGAUGGAUCCACUAACCUGCCACUGCUCAACAUUACCUCUCCCUGUCAGUCCCUCUACCUCUCCCUGACACCUCUAACUCUCUACCACUCUGAUACACUAUUCAUAAUUUCCGCUGCUUUUACACUUUCAUGGAUUACGUACAGACAUGGAGCCUCGUCUUUUCCUUCCUGUUUUUAAUACGUAUGUUUCUUUACAAUGUCUGUGUAUCCAUUUAUAAUAUCACUCAGCCCUGUCCACCACUUGCUACUCUCCUAUCACAAACUAACCAACCACAGCCUCAUCUAUUCCUUCUUUUUUAUAUAUAUUUUUCAUGUUAUUUGCUUCACCAUCCUAUAUACAAAGCCUGUGUGUAUUCCUAUCAAAUAACCACUGGCCUCAUCAUUUCCUUUCUCUUCUUAAUUUAAUACCUUACAUUUUACUUGCUGUUCGUCUAUUGAGAACUAGUAGGGAGUCUAUGGAUUAGGGAUCAUUAGGCUACGUCAGAUAAGGUUAAAAUUUGGUAAGGGUGGCAUACAUUUGGACUGAGUGAGGGAAGAGUGCUGGACUAAAGAGGUCUGGAAAAGGUUUGGCUAGUUCUUCAUCAACUCCUGGCACUCCAAGAACCACUGCCUGGCUCUACCUAAUAUUACCCAUCCCUGUCCACUAUCUCAAACUUAUUUCCUCUUGCAGUCUAACCAUACUCAUUUUAAACAAAGCGUUCCUCUGGUGGCUAAGUGGGUCUUGUCAUCAUCCCUCUCUCACACGAAUGGAAGUUGUCUGUCAAUAUUUAGUGGGGAGUCUAUGGAUUAGGCUACGUCAGAUAAGGUUAAAUUUGGUAAGGGUGUCAUACAUUUGGACUGAGUGAGGGAAGAGUACUGGACUAAAGAGGUCUGGAAAAGGUUUGGCUAGUUCUUUAUCAACUUCUGCCACUCCAAGAACCACUGCCUGGCCCUACCUAACAUAACCCAUUCCUGCAGCGUUGCCAAAUAGUCCUACUCUGAACAUUCCAUCUAUCAUUUUUAGGCCCCCCAAACUGUCGUACAUUCAUAUAUAAUGAGAGUCAAUAAAAGUCAUCGUUGAAAGUGUUAAAUAUUGAUGGCUUUCUUUCUUUUUGCAACAGUUAUCGGUGAGAAACUACGGAUAUGCAUUAUGAUUAGUACGAUAUAAUUUGGCAAAGCUGCAUCAAACUUAUUUAUUUUCUCUUGCAGUCUAAUCAUACUCAUUUUAAACAAAGCAUUUCUCUGGUGGCUAUAAGUGGGUCUUGUCAGGCCUCUCCAGAUUGGCUUCAUCCCUCUCUCACACGAAUGGAAGUUGUCUGUCAAUAUUUAGUAGCAAAACAUUAUAAUAGUUUACUACGCACAAUUUCCAACUGGAGCUUAUGUAAAGGUCGGCAUUAAAAGACACUUUCGCUUCUCACAUCAGCUAUUUCUAAAGGUCCAAGAGGGGGUCAGUCGGGUUCUAAUGAGUGUUUCUUCAGGUUCAUGCUACAGAGGAAGAGUCACAUUACCACCAGGGUCAUAAAACUACUUCUGGAAAUGAUCACAACUCCUACGAAAGCCUUGUCGGAUAUGUGUUCUUGGGCGCGAAACAGUCUUAUAAUACAACCCAGUGUUGGCAUUAUAAGAUACUUUUACUUCUCACAUCAGCUAUUUCUAAAGGUCAAAGAGGGGGUCAGUUGGGUUCUAAUGAGUGUUUCUUCAGGUUCACGGUACAGAAGAAGAGUCACACUACCACCAGGGUCAUAAAACUACUCCUGGAAAUGAUCACAACUACGAAAGCCUUGUCGAAUAUGUGUUCUUGGGCGCCAAACAAUCUUAUAAUACGACCCAGUGUUGGUAUUAUAAGAUACUUUUGCUUCUCACGUCAAUUAUUUCCAAAGGUCCAAGAGGGGGUCAGUCGGGUUCUAAUGAGUGUUUCUUCAGGUUCACGGUACAGAGGAAGAGUCACACUACCACCAGGGUCAUAAAACUACUCCUGGAAAUGAUCACAACUCCUACAAAAGCCUUGUCGAAUAUGUGUUCUUGGGCGCGAAAAGUCUUAGGGUCGUAUUAAAAGAUAUAUCGCCACCCAAGAACACAUAUUUGACAAGGCUUUUGUAGGAUUUGUGGGAAUUUUUCAGGGGUAGUUUUAUGACCCUGGUGGUAGUGUGAGUCUUCUUCUGCACCAUGAACCUGAAGAAACACUCAUUAUAACCCGACUAACCCUCUGUUUGGCCUUUAGAAAUAGGUGAAGUGAGAAGCGAGAGUCUUAUGAUAUCAACCUUAUAAUACGACCCAGUGUGUGUUACGGGCGGAGCGUUACACAGGCAGCGGGGCGGAUAACUCUACGGUCACGGCCAGCCACGUUUACAUUACCCAACAGCUUCAGUGAUGGACAAUGCGAACACCGCGGAUUGAUUUCCCUCAGAACUGAUUUAUGCUCCAUCGUUAUAUUAAUCAUAAGCUAUCAGGGCGAGUAAUGAGUAUGCCAAUCAUUCUUUGUAUCAUAAUGAGCUUUUCUUUCUUCCCUUUGUCAUUAUUUCUUAUUUUUUGGGAGUUAUCACAUUAUGACAAACAUCUGAGUCCUAUAAUAAUUACUGCUGAGUCUAGUUAGGCCACCCGUAGCAGACCACCUUAUGUAAGAAGUGAGAUAAGGCAUUCUUUGUAUCAUAAUGAGCUCUUCUUUCCUCCCUUUGUUAUUAUUUCUUAUUUUUUGGGAUUAUCAGAUUACGACAAACACCUAUAGUCACUGCGGAGUCUAUUUAGGCCAACCGAAGACCGCCUUAUAUAAGAGGUAAGCUAAGGCAUAACAUUGAAAUAAGCAGUACGAGAACAUGCGAUAUUGACAGAUAAACAAGGAAGGGUGAGAGAAGGAAGGCAAGGAAGGUGGGUGAAGAAGGUAAAGGAAGAAGGGAAGGGCAAGAUGGAAGGAAGGAAGGGUGAAGGUGAUUUGAAGAAAGAAAGGUGAGAGUGUGGAGAAAGAGAGAGAGAUUGAAAACUCCUUGGGAUGAGAGGAAUCUAGCCAAACAGGAGGAGCUUGACAAACGCGGUCAUGGCGCCAGAGAAACACUUCACUUGAAAAGACUAAAACUGUCUCCCUCAUAUUCCUAUUCUCCAUGACACCUGGCAUCUUACGAGCUAUUUUUCUCAUUCUGUCAUACCGUUUAUAGUUCCCUGACAGACUAAAGAAAGAAAUAAAGGAAAAAUUUAAAGUAAAAAAACAUGGAGGAAUAACACACACACACACACACACACACACACACACACACACACACACACACACACACACACACACACACACACACACACAC